AAAUUGAAGAGUUUGAUCAUGGCUCAGAUUGAACGCUGGCGGCAGGCCUAACACAUGCAAGUCGAACGGUAGCACAGAGAGCUUGCUCUCGGGUGACGAGUGGCGGACGGGUGAGUAAUGUCUGGGAAACUGCCUGAUGGAGGGGGAUAACUACUGGAAACGGUAGCUAAUACCGCAUAACGUCGCAAGACCACAACAGAGGACCUUCGGGACUCAU
rnacentral:rRNA from 1 species